GACGAACGCUGGCGGCGUGCUUAACACAUGCAAGUCGAACGGAAAGGCCCUGCUUGCAGGGUACUCGAGUGGCGAACGGGUGAGUAACACGUGGGUGAUCUGCCCUGCACUUCGGGAUAAGCCUGGGAAACUGGGUCUAAUACCGGAUAGGAGCCAUUUUUAGUGUGAUGGUUGGAAAGUUUUUUCGGUGUAGGAUGAGCUCGCGGCCUAUCAGCUUGUUGGUGGGGUAAUGGCCUACCAAGGCGGCGACGGGUAGCCGGCCUGAGAGGGUGGACGGCCACAUUGGGACUGAGAUACGGCCCAGACUCCUACGGGAGGCAGCAGUGGGGAAUAUUGCACAAUGGGCGCAAGCCUGAUGCAGCGCCGCCGCGUGGGGGAUGACGGCCUUCGGGUUGUAAACUCCUUUCGCUAGGGACGAAGCUUUUUGUGACGGUACCUAGAGAAGAAGCACCGGCUAACUACGUG
rnacentral:rRNA from 1 species